UUACUUAUUAUAGUUUUGUCUGAUUGAUUUGUCAGAGAUUCAGAGAGUUGGGUGAAGACAUCUACUGUGCUUCUUUCUAUUUAUUUCUGCCUUGCAUGUCAUGUUUUCAUUAUGUGCUUUAAUGUUAAGUUAGGCAUAAAAGUUUCAAGCACUCUGGAUCUUUUUCUUUUCUUGUUUUUCCCCUGAAUUUACCCAUUAUGUGCCAAAUUUGCAAUGCUUGCCUUAUUUUUUUAUUUUCUUGAUACAUCUUUGCUUAUUACCUUUUAAAAAACAUUCGGUGAUUUAUGUUGUAUCAAUUGGCAAAUUGUCAAAUAGAUUUUAAAAUUCGGUCUAUGUCUUCUUUUGCUAAAUGAUGUUUUUACUUUGUGUAUUAAAAAAAUUAAAAUUAGUAAGAUUUAUAAUGUAUGUUUAAGUGUUUGGUGGUUAACUCUAAAUUUGCAUGUAUACUUAAGUCAAUUUCUCGAUUUUUAGAUAGUAUGUAGUGAAUUACCACUCUGAAAUUUGUAGAAAUUGACACUCAUACUUCUCUAAACAUACCUGCUUAAUAAUCUGCCUCCUUUAAGAAUAUUUAUGUCUGUUCUAAUCCCUUCACUCAUUUAGAUAUAUCUAGUUUCUUUAUUAUAGAGCAAAUUUCCUGAAAUCUUUAAUUAUUCUUUGUUUUUACUCACUUUUUAAAAAAAUUCAAGAAAAUCUCAGAAGUAUUUUAUAUAUAUUACAUUCUUGCUUUUUUAUAAGGUCUGUCUUAUAAUAAACUUUGGCAUACACAGACAAUUUGGGGGUCCAGUUUAUUUCCCAUGAUAGUUUAUAGACAUUGCACAGAAUUGAAAAUUUUUUUCCUCUGUUAUAUCUUCUUCAUCAAUAUUAAUGCAAGUACGAUGAUCCUCCCUGUGUCUCUUCUUGAUCUAUCAUCUUCUAUCUAAUUACAUGCAUCUUUUUAUCUUCUUAAUCUUGUUCUCUCUGAUGAUAUUUUCAAAACUGUCUUCUAAUUUUAGGUGCUUCUCAUGUGGUUUUCAUUUCUGUAAUGACUUUAUUUCAUUUUUUUGCUUCCAUUUAUCAACUGUCAACUUAUUAUCUCUCCUUUGGUUUCUUUGUCUUCUUUGAGCUUUUAUUCCCCAACCCCCAAGAGUCCAAGUUAACUUUAUCUGGAAUUUAUUUUCUUUGAAAUUUACUUGUGUAAGUUUCUCUGAAAUGCCUCUUCUUAUGUUUAAUUUUCAACUAAUAUAUUCAUUUCUAACUUCCCUGAAAUACCAUAGUAUAGACCUUGUGUUGGUCCUAUUGUUCCUCUGGGCCUGGGCUAUCUACUUGCCUAACAGUGGUGUGAGGAGGGGUGGAAGGAAUGGUCUGACCUUGGAUUGCAGGCUCAUAAACUUUCUUACCAAAACCUCUGUUGUCUUCCCUCCAAGGUGUGUCUCCCCUUAAUUUGUGAAUUUCUCUUUUUGGGGAUAAUCAAGAGGUCCUUGGGGGUUGCAAGGUAAGUUGGAAUGUCAAAAGUCUUUCAUGGACAAUCUAGCAUAUACUUAACAUAAAUCUCACUGCCACCAGGAAUAGAGUCGCAAUUGCCACUUACCCUCUCUGCUGUUCUCUGUCUUCCUGGCGGCCUGCUUCUCUAGUUAUGAGGCUCUACUCUUUUUUUGGGCAGAUAUUAUUCUUAAUUUAAAAUUCUAUUUGUCCAUUCCCAGUUUCAUUAGAGAUGACGUUUUCUUCACAUUUUGCUGCUUUCGGUGUGCUUUGGGGAAGAAUGUUAAACAAAAAACCAUUUACUCCCUUAUCUUUAAUUGGAAAUCCUCAACAAAAAAAUUUUUUUUGCAGUCUAAAGAAACCUUAUUACAAGUGAUUUUGAGGAAUUCACAGGGACUCAGUAGUGUGAAAAAUUUAUUAAAAUAUAAAUCUAUUACGGCAUCAUCAGAAUUUUCACUGAGGUGUCCAGGGGUCUCUAGCUAGCAAGUGUCCAUUCAAGUUCAUAUUUCCAAGACAUCUAUUAUUGAACCAUUAAUCUGCAAAAUGGUGGUUUUAAAUAACUCUAUUUAAGAAAGAUGGAUUAAUAUCCAGCACAAAUGAACAUCUCCUCAGAAAAGAAAAUCAUGGACUUGGAGAAAAGACUUGUGGCUGCCUGAUGGGAGGGGGAGGGAGUGGGAGGGAUCGGGAGCUUGGGCUUAUCAGACACAACUUAGAAUAGAUUUACAAGGAGACCUGCUGAGUAGCAUUGAGAACUUUGUCUAGAUACUCAUGUUGCAACAGAACAAAGGGUGGGAAAAAAAAUGUAAUUGUAAUGUAUACAUGUAAGGAUAACUUGAUCCCCUUGCUGUACAGUGG
ensembl:lncRNA